rnacentral:tRNA from 1 species
UAUAUUUUGAUGUAAGAUGCAUAGUAAUUUUUGAAAUUACAGGGUAUAGUUUGAUUCUAUAAAGUAUAA